CACACUUAACAUGAUUUUAAUCUUUUUAGAAUUAUACACAUAUUAUAAAGUGAUAUACACAUAUUAUAAAGAAUUGAAAUACCACCUAAAGGAGAAGAGAAGAGGUUUGCAAAUCCCACCCCCAGAGGUGACCAUCAUGAAUGGUUUGGUGCACCUCUCUCAGGCUCUGUCUCUCUCCUGUCUCUCUCUAUCUCUGUCUCUCACACAAGCAGAUUUAUUGACAUCUCUGUUUAUUUCACCUCUUUGUGGUCUUACAGAUGGGAUCCAGGCUGCAGAUGGUUGGUCCUCAUGCUUCCCACCUAAGAGAAUCCUGAGGUCUCCCCUUUCAUGAGAACAUUGAUCUUCAAGAGGUUUUUGGACCACAGGUAUUCUCCGGCCUUGGUCAUGAGGAAUGCUUUUCCAGUUUGUGUGUGUUGGCUCCUGCAAAUCAGUUCAUUCUGGGAACCUUCUGUCCUGAUAUCUUGCUAGAUCGUUCAUGGAGAAGUUAGAUCCCAUUUGGCAAGAGCAGAAUCAUCUUCCCAACACAUGAGAAGAGAACAGGCACAGGCCCGCACCCAUCCCAUCUUAUCCCUCCUUGCCUGCCCAGCCCGUCAUGUCAGAAACAUGUGUCCCUCCUCUUGUCAGAAGCCUAACCCCAGGGAAAGGACUUAGAUGUAAAGGAAACCAGAAUAUUGUCUUGAGCUACGGACACUUCAAAAAACAAAGCAGGGCUUCCCUGGUGGCGCAGUGGUUGAGAGUCCGCCUGCCGAUGCAGGGGACACGGGUUCGUGCCCCGGUCCGGGAA